UAGGGAAUCUUCCGCAAUGGACGCAAGUCUGACGGAGCAACGCCGCGUGAGUGAUGAAGGAUUUCGGUUCGUAAAACUCUGUUGUUAGAGAAGAACAGCGCAUAGAGUAACCGUUAUGCGCGUUAAGGUAUCUAACCAGAAAGCCACGGCUAACUACGUGCCAGCAGCCGCGGUAAUACGUAGGUGGCAAGCGUUGUCCGGAUUUAUUGGGCGUAAAGCGAGCGCAGGCGGUCAAUUAAGUGUAAUGUGAAGGCCCCGGCUCAACCGGGGGGGGUGUUUGGAAACGGGUUGACUUGAGUGCAGAAGAGGAGAGUGGAAUUCCAUGUGUAGCGGUGAAAUGCGUAGAUAUAUGGAGGAACACCAGUGGCGAAGGCGACUCUCUGGUCUGUAACUGACGCUGAGGCUCGAAAGCGUGGGUAGCAAACAGG
rnacentral:rRNA from 1 species